ACCCUGGAGGAUUAGUGGAUUAGUGGAGGAUUAGCUCUCACCACUGUGGUCCGGGUUCGAUUCCCGGCCAGGGAA